UUCCCAGAAGGUAUCCUUCUGGCAAGGGUACUGUACUAAACUAACUAAAGUGGGGGAUAGUGAGGGGAUAAAUUUUCUUAAGGAACUCGGCAAAAUCCCAAUGGCCCACCAGGGCAUAUUGGAACACGGGCCUCGACUGUUUACCAAAAACAUAGCCCUCGGCCAAUAUGAAAAUAGAUGUAUAGAGGGUGAUGCCUGCCCAAUGGUUGUAUCUAAAAGCAGUUGAUAAAAGUCGACCUCGUAAGGACAAUUGAAUGGCCGCGGUAACACUGACCGUGAUAAUGUAGCGUAAUCAAUAGCCAAUUAAUUGUUGGCCAGUAUGAAUGGCGCCACGAAGGCCCCACUGUCUUAAGGAAAUUCCCAGUGAAAUUGAAUUCGUAGUGAAGAUGCUACGUCCAAUUUGUUAGACGAAAAGACCCCGUUGAGCUUUACUGGGGCACUUACACGGCCCUCGGCCUUCCCGUGCCCGGGAACCGGCCG
rnacentral:rRNA from 4 species